CUAUGGGUUGUAAACUUCUUUUGUAUAGGGAUAAACCUACUCUCGUGAGAGUAGCUGAAAGUACUAUACGAAUAAGCACCGGCUAACUCCGUGCCAGCAGCCGGGGUAAUACGGAGGGUGCAAGCGUUAUCCGGAUUUAUUGGGUUUAAAGGGUCCGUAGGCGGAUCUGUAAGUCAGGGGUGAAAUCUCCACAGCUUAACUGUGAAACUGCCAUUGAUACUGCCGGUCUUGAGUGUUGUUGAAGUAGCUGGAAUAAGUAGUGUAGCGGUGAAAUGCAUAGAUAUUUCUUAGAACACCAAUUGCGAAGGCAGGUUACUAAGCAACAACUGACGCUGAUGGACGAAAGCGUGGGGAGCGAACCAGGAUUAGAUACCCUGGUAGUCCACGCCGUAAACGAUGCUAACUCGUUUUUGGGUUUUCGGAUUCAGAGACUAAGCGAAAGUGAUAAGUUAGCCACCUGGGGAGUACGAACGCAAGUUUGAAACUCAAAGGAAUUGACGGGGGCCCGCACAAGCGGUGGAUUAUGGGUUUAAUUCGAUGAUACGCGAGGAACCUUCCAAGGCUUAAAUGGGAAAUGACA
rnacentral:rRNA from 1 species